UGAGACAGAAAGAUCAAGAUAUAGGCAAGCUGCUCCACCAGCGAAAAGAUGACAGCUCGCUUUAUUGUGAUUCUCCUUUUAUUAUGGUGGUCUGGAACUGAACCCGCAGUACCUUCGAGGUACGCCUGUGCUUGGAUGUGGGGGUAAAAGAGAAGGAAAUUAAGGGAAGCCCAGAAACAAGGCGAAGGAGGAAGUCGUGGUGGAGUCUCCACUUAGGUGAAAGAGACUCAAACAGGGUCUGUUGAUGAAAUGUAGGACAUGCAGUCAUCAAGUAUGCACAAGAUGUUACGCAAGCCCAGAGGAAGCCCAGCCCAGGUCUUCACACAAGAAGAGGAGACACCUUUGAGCUGCGUUUUGAAGGCGAGUUCAAGUCUGCCAGCAGCGGAGGAGAUGAAGAGC